UGGGGAAUAUUGCGCAAUGGACGAAAGUCUGACGCAGCGACGCCGCGUGUGGGAGGAAGCUCUUCGGGGUGUAAACCACUGUCAGGAGGGAAGAACGGCGCCGGUUCGAACAGUUCCGGCGAUUGACGGUACCUCCAAAGGAAGCGCCGGCUAACUCCGUGCCAGCAGCCGCGGUAAGACGGAGGGCGCAAGCGUUGUUCGGAAUUACUGGGCGUAAAGCGCGGGCAGGCGGUCUGUUAAGUCGUUUGUGAAAAUCCGGGGCUCAACCCCGGAAAUGCAUACGAUACUGGCAGGCUGGAGACUGGUAGAGGCUAGCGGAAUUCCUGGUGUAGCGGUGGAAUGCGUAGAUAUCAGGAAGAACACCUGUGGCGAAGGCGGCUAGCUGGGCCAGUUCUGACGCUGAUCCGCGAAAGCGUGGGGAGCAAACAGGAUUAGAUACCCUCGUAGUCCCUGAGCGGGCUGGCAAGGCGCAU
rnacentral:rRNA from 1 species